rnacentral:rRNA from 1 species
UACAGAGGUCUCAAGCGUUUGUUCGGAUUCAUUGGGCGUAAAGGGUGCGUAGGCGGCGCGACUGAUAACGGGUGUGAAAUCUCGGAGCUUAACUCCGAAACUGCAUUCGAUACUGCCGUGCUUGAGGACUGGAGAGGAGACUGGAAUUUACGGUGUAGCGGUGAAAUGCGUAGAUAUCGUAAGGAAGACCAGUGGCGAAGGCGGGUCUCUGGACAGUUCCUGACGCUGAGGCACGAAGGUCAGGGGAGCAAACGGG